UACGGGGGGGGCAAGCGUUGUUCGGAAUUACUGGGCGUAAAGCGUGCGCAGGCGGUUUUGUAAGUCAGAUGUGAAAUCCCUCGGCUUAACCAAGGAAGUGCAUCCGAAACUGCAGUGCUUGAGUACUUAAGAGGAUCGCGGAAUUCCCGGUGUAGAGGUGAAAUUCGUAGAUAUCGGGAGGAACACCAGUGGCGAAGGCGGCGAUCUGGGAAGAUACUGACGCUGAGGUGCGAAAGCGUGGGGAGCAAACAGG
rnacentral:rRNA from 1 species